rnacentral:rRNA from 1 species
GAUGAACGCUGGCGGCGUGCCUAAUACAUGCAAGUCGAGCGAACGGACGAGAAGCUUGCUUCUCUGAUGUUAGCGGCGGACGGGUGAGUAACACGUGGAUAACCUACCUAUAAGACUGGGAUAACUUCGGGAAACCGGAGCUAAUACCGGAUAAUAUUUUGAACCGCAUGGUUCAAAAGUGAAAGACGGUCUUUCUGUCACUUAUAGAUGGAUCCGCGCUGCAUUAGCUAGUUGGUAAGGUAACGGCUUACCAAGGCAACGAUGCAUAGCCGACCUGAGAGGGUGAUCGGCCACACUGGAACUGAGACACGGUCCAGACUCCUACGGGAGGCAGCAGUAGGGAAUAUUCCGCAAUGGGCGAAAGCAUGACGGAGCAAAGCCGCGUGAGUGAUGAAGGUAUUCGGAUCGUAAAACUCUGUUAUUAGGGAAGAACAAAUGUGUAAGUAACUGUGCACAUCUUGACGGUACCUAAUCAGAAAGCCACGGCUAACUACGUG